GUGGGGAAUAUUGGACAAUGGGGGGAACCCUGAUCCAGCCAUGCCGCGUGUGUGAAGAAGGCCUUUUGGUUGUAAAGCACUUUAAGCGAGGAGGAGGCUACCGAGAUUAAUACUCUUGGAUAGUGGACGUUACUCGCAGAAUAAGCACCGGCUAACUCUGUGCCAGCAGCCGCGGUAAUACAGAGGGUGCAAGCGUUAAUCGGAUUUACUGGGCGUAAAGCGCGCGUAGGUGGCCAAUUAAGUCAAAUGUGAAAUCCCCGAGCUUAACUUGGGAAUUGCAUUCGAUACUGGUUGGCUAGAGUAUGGGAGAGGAUGGUAGAAUUCCAGGUGUAGCGGUGAAAUGCGUAGAGAUCUGGAGGAAUACCGAUGGCGAAGGCAGCCAUCUGGCCUAAUACUGACGCUGAGGUACGAAAGCGUGGGGAGCAAACAGGAUUAGAUACCCGAGUAGUCC
rnacentral:rRNA from 1 species